rnacentral:rRNA from 1 species
GACGAACGCUGGCGGCGUUCUUAACACAUGCAAGUCGAACGGUAAGGCCCUUCGGGGUACACGAGUGGCGAACGGGUGAGUAACACGUGGGUGAUCUGCCCUGCACUUCGGGAAUAAGCCUGGGAAACUGGGUCUAAUACCGGAUAGGACCACUGCCUGCAUGGGUGGUGGUGGAAAGCUUUUGCGGUGUGGGAUGGGCCCGCGGCCUAUCAGCUUGUUGGUAGGUGGAUGGACUACCAAGGUGACGGUGGGUAGCCGGCCUGGGAGGGUGACCGGGCACACUAGGUCUGGGACACGGUGCAGACUCCUCAGGGAGGCAGCCGUGGGGAAUACUGCACAGUGGGAGCAAGCCUGAUGCAGCGACGCCGCGUGAGGGAUGACGGCCUUCGGGUUGUAAACCUCUUUCAGCACCGACGAAGCGCAAGUGACGGUAGGUGCAGAAGAAGGACCGGCCAACUACGUGCCAGCCGCCGCGGUAA